rnacentral:rRNA from 1 species
UACGUAGGGUGCGAGCGUUACUCGGAAUUACUGGGCGUAAAGCGUGCGCAGGCGGUUAUGUAAGGCAGUUGUGAAAUCCCCGGGCUCAACCUGGGAAUUGCAUCUGUGACUGCAUAGCUAGAGUACGGUAGAGGGGGAUGGAAUUCCGCGUGUAGCAGUGAAAUGCGUAGAUAUGCGGAGGAACACCGAUGGCGAAGGCAAUCCCCUGGACCUGUACUGACGCUCAUGCGCGAAAGCGUGGGGAGCAAACAGG